AUGGCAUUUAAUUUGGAAAUUUCUUUUUACUUUUGUGGAGCAUUAGAGUCAGGGUUUACCUUAUUGAUACUGCCCAUAGUUACAGUGCCCUCUAAUUUGAAAUCCUUAAGUUAAUAAGUCUGUAUCAGGUGCAGCUGGCUUCGAUUAAAGGUCAUUUUUAAAACUUAAAAACUGAAGACCUCACAGAUUAUAAUAGAAAAGGAAAUGGCCUCAGUUUGAUCUUGUUUGGAAUGACCCAGAUUGUUUCUGCUUUAGGUGCAGCUGUUUAGUUCAGAGUUAUAUUACAGAGAAUUAUUUUCUGAGAUAAUCUUAAACUAGAAUGUUCAAAACUAAUUGAUAAUUGAAGUAUCAAGAUACGUAAAACACCUCAGAGAUUUUUCUUCAGGAGCUUCCACAAACUUUGAAUCCUUGUAUCUUUAUUUGGUAUUCAUACUACUAGUAGCAAAAUACAAGUUUUUUGUUUUGUUUUGAUUUGGCUUCAUAGAGUAUCUCAAAUUGAAAGAAACUUUUCUGCACAAAGAAUACAAUUAGGGAUUUUGUAAACUCAAAUUGGCACCUACUGAAUUAAAAUACAUAAAAUCAUUUAAAUAUAAUUCAGCAUAUGGGAAGUAACAUUGCACUAAUAUGGAAAUCACUGCCAGAGACAGUCUAUUUUCUUUUAAUUUGUUACUACUUAGUCACAAAUCCUACGUUAUUCCAGUUUGGAAUUACUUAUUAAGGAGAAUUGGAAAUACAUAUGCCCAUGCUUAAAUUUUAUAGCUUUAAUUUGUAUUAUUUCUUUAUUGGCGGGAAGAGGUACAUCUUUGUUUUCCUUACUGAAAACAAAUAUGGAUUAAUUGCCUCAAAUUUGUAUAAGUGAUUGGCUAGUGAUUCUUGUUUCCAGAAGGGAGAGUGGUGUAGAUAGAAAAAGACAAAGAUGGCAAUAUACACUUAAUGUUGUUAUAUGUUGUUACUGAAAUACUUAGAUUUUUAAAAUUUCAAAUCCUAAAUCACUUCUUGUAGGAGGGUUUUCAUUAACUAGCUGCAGUAUAUACAGUUCACUACAUAUGGGUUGUUUGAGUUUUUUGUGUGCUGUAUUUCUUUCUGUUUUUUAAUACCUGGUUUUGUACAUACCUAACUCUGUUGUCUUUUGGUUGUUCAGAAACUGGAUUAUUUUUUUCUUAGGCAGUGCUUAAUUUGUGUUUUUAAAUUUUGAUUCAGAAGUAGUCCCAGCUCAUAGGUGUUCAUACUGUUACAUCCAGAACAUUUGUCAGGCUGUCAGCUCUCAUGUACAUAUGGUAUAGAAACCAUGGAGUUAGGCACUUCCUGGAUUUUUUUUUUAUGAGAAAAAUACUGUAUUUAAAGUGUAAAAUAAACUUUUAAAAAGCAGGCACUAAUAUAUAUUUCUUCCAGCCUUUGAUUACAAAUUUGUCCUUGCACAUGUUAAGAUGAAUUAUCUCCUAAAAAUAUGAUUGUUCUUGGGAGCAGUGUAUGUUACUUUACAUAGCAGCGGUUCCUGUCAUGUGUUCAUGUCAGAAUAUUUUUGGUUUUAAACUUUUUUAUUGCCUUUGGCUGUUGAUUAGUACAGUACAAGUGCAAUUUCAGAAAGAUCUUGAAAGUAAUAUAUUUAAUCAAUUAAAAUGUUUAUCUGUAA